CGCGAGUUACCGAGCGAUCGUGCGUGGGCGUGGGCCGGUUUCGCGUUGGUGCUCGAAGCUUUUCGAGGUGGCUGCGGGCAAGGGAGAGCGCCGGCGUUCUGCAGUCCCGCGUCCGCUCCUCCGCUGUGAGGAAGGCAUGGCCUCGGCGCCCUGCGGUUUGUCUUCUCCCCCUUCCUUCUCCAUGUCAGGCCGGGGGGAGGCUUUCCUUCCAAACCCUGCCCUGUAACCCGCGUUCACUGAAUCAGGCAAAACGCCUGAGGACACUGCGCCGGGAGGAAAGGAAGAGUGCCAGGCAGGAGGUGAAAGCAGAAAAUAAGUGAAGUUAUUCCACAAGCAGCAGAACUAAAGCAGCCUCGGUACCCGGGUACGGCAUUCCUGUAUCUUCUCCCAUGUACCCAUCACUGCAAAGCCAUAGUUCUGCUCCUACACUGCCCAUGUGCCACCCCAAGACCCAUGACUAUGAAAAGCAGAUGUUUCUACUGUCACCAUGGUAUCUAAGCUCAUCACAGAAACUGCGUGAGGUUGUUGCUAGCUUGGGUAAGCAAGUGGUUUAUCUAGUCCAAGGCAACAAAGAGCUAAAUGUUCUCAAAGUUAUAUGAAUACCUUCCUCGGGGUCUGGGAGCAGGGGGAGAAGAGCUGAACAACGGCGAGUGCUGCCCUUCCUGUGUAGGUGAGGACAAUUAUUGAUUAUAGGCAUAUGACCAGAAAUGAAUGCCUUGAUAAACAGCAUCAGUAAUUUUCCUGCUUGACAAUUGGGUCUUUAUGAUCCCUGUUCACGCUUCAGAGGUAAAAUGAAAAUACUGUUCUUGGCUGUGUGAUGUAUUGUGAGUUAAUUUUUUCCUAAUUCCUGCUUUGGAGCCCUUAGAGCUAUCCGUCUUGUUAUUCUUUCUGCUCUACCCCGGAAUGAAGAAUAGCUCUUCUUUUUUGUAAUAAUUUCUCCGUUCAGCUUCUGAAGGGAACAAGGCAGUUACUAGCCCGGAGAUAAUCUGAUUAUUGUAACGAUGUAGCUGCUAGUAAUUGACAAGAGGUGGAGAAACAUACAACAGGGGAAAUGAUGGAAAGACAAAGUACGAGCAAAGUGGAGAUAUUUGAUAUAGUAAGUAGAAGUGUUGGCACAUCAACUGCCUUAUUGAUAUUCAUUCUGUUCAGUGAUUUCUGUAUCAGAUUUACAGAUGGUUGAUGUUUUUGAUAGUUGCCAGUUCCACAAAUUCAGGCUUUGUCCUGAAAUUCAUGCUGAGCUCUUGCCGAAGCAUGUUGUAUGUAUUCUGCAGGCUGAAUUAUACACUUAUUGCAUCCUUUUGGGUUCCCAUCAGAGAAUGGAUGUGUUGGAAUAGGUGUAAAGCUACAGAAGUAUGAGGUCACUUGGGCAGCACUGAAGGUGUGUAAAGUUGCACAAAAAUGUCUAUGCCAAGAACGUAAAGCGCAGGGUUUCUGUAAGUGGAUAUAGUACAGGAGAUGGGAGAGGAAGUAUCUUGACAGUCAGUCUGAGCUAAAUUGGAAGAAAUCAUUACUUUAUACUUACAAACUGAGUGAAUUUGAUAUGGGAACCAGUGAGACUCAGGAAGAAGGGCAUCUCACAGUACCAUCUCUACUGCAAUGUAAAAUUGCUUCACAAAUUAUACUACCAUUCUGUUAAUUAUCUUCCUAGCACUGUCCACUUCUUUGGAGUUCUCUGGGUACAAGAUAAGAAGCUCCUGUACACCAAAGAUGUGUACAGAAUUUGGCUUGUGCACUUCUGACAGUCAGUUACUGAAAUAUUUUCCCUGGCCUGAUGCUCUGAGAUACUUUGUUGGAAGGAAAGCCCUGUUUGAAUAGGUAGCAUAAGAAAAGGUUUGCUUUCUGCUCCAGUCUAUUUUUGUUUUGUUGAAGUUUCCUGAGGAUCAGGGAGAAUUAUCCUCAGGAGCAAGAAUCUGAAGGAAAUGGACUGAACAAAUCCAAUUUCUGUAUUAAUUGGCUCUGGUGUCAAAAUAUUUCACUGGAAGUCACAUGUCUAUUAAAGUCUCCUCCUGCCUUAUUUGGUUAUGACUGCGCUGCAGAAGGAUAAUGAGAAGCAGUAUUAGCUGUUCACAAUUAAUAGGGCAAUUGUUGAGACCACAUGUUCAAUAACUCCUACGAAGGUGACACCUUAGACAUUGGAGCACUAAACUACAUUAUGUGAUUGAGUGAUCAAGGCUGGAGUUUAUGGCUUAUGCUCAUUCAGUUGCUAGAGUGCUUAAGAGCAGAAUAGUGGAAAAGCUUUAUCUUAUGCACAGGUUUCUGAGGUGCUUGGCACAUAUAGCUCUCAUACCUUUCUUCUAGAUGGUGUCAGAUGGUCAAAAUUAAUUCCCUCAUCAUUCAAGAACAUUCCUAUUCUAAAUCAGACAAAGCUAAAUCUCUUGUCUUUGAAAUGUAGUGCUGAAAAACACCUGGUCAGCUAAUCUGAACUCUCAGAUAAAAUGAGACCUAACCAAGGGAGAAGACAAAAUUCUCAGAGUUAAUUGUGUGUGUCUGUAGAUGUCCAACAUGGUGAAAUGGUAAUCCUUUAGGUCCUUCUGCAAGCCAAAACUACUACUAUUGUAGAUUAACUUUAGUGGAAUUAUAAUGAAGCAUACUUAGGAGAAUAGUUAACUCCAAAGUUAAUAACCUAUUGAAAGCAUGCAUACAAGAAAUACUGAUUUGAAGAACAGAAAUUCAAAGGUCGAGACCUACAUUCAUCAUUAUGGUUGGUAUCUGCAUAAAGGGUCAUACCAGUUCUGUUUAAGUAGACAGCAGUAAAUUAUGACUAUGAUCUCAAGAUAGCUUUACAUCUUGUGCUAUCUCUUUACAAAUGACAAUCAAUAUUUGCUUGGAAAUAACACUCAGAAUGUGUCACUCGGCUGCAUUCCUAGGCAUCUGCCUAUUAACAAUAUAAUUUUGUUUUUCUUAUGCAUCACUCUCAGUCUUAUUUAAUGCGCAGUCUGUCCGCAGAAACAAGAAGUUGCAGUGAGGUCCAGCCCAGGAGAAGCUUGAGGUACUGACUCAUUCUGAGACACUGAGGGAAAGGUUUGCUUGCAGGUAUAUUUAGACUAUAACUACACAAGGACACUAAGCUAUGAGAAACCCCUAAAAAUGAGGUGGCCUUAUUUUUAAUGAAGAUUUGAUUGUGCCUUUUGGGUGGCUUAGUUUGACAUUGUUUUAUACUGACCGAUGGUAAACGUGUUUCAAAGUCUGAUUUCCCAGAACUUCUCAGAAAUUCUAGUGUCAAUUUUAAGGUAAGAUCCAAACAGCAUUAUAGGAAAGAUUAGUGCCUCCCUUUCACUGGAAGAAUUCAGAUCACUUGUUCAGGUUGUGAGAGGCUUGCUAAGUUCUGCCCCCCGAGCUUAACAUACACCUCCUACCUCCCAUAAAAGUUGGAGGGGACUUUGGCAUUGUAUGCUCUCAGUCUCUCAUUACUGCCACUUCAUUUUGCAAAAAUAAUUAAACUUUCACCAGAUAUGGAACUGAACCUGCCAGGGAAUGGGCUAGAGAUAAUCCCACCAUUCAAAAGACUAAUCUGACGACCAGGUAAAGAAUAUUUCUCCUGCAGUUUGUCUCCAUGAUUAAGUCUUUUGGACAAAAGUAUCAGCAUCAACCAAAAGAAUUGAGGGAAGCACAAUCCAAGGCCUUCAACUGCCUAGAGCUCUUGCUCAAGUAAUGUAAGACCCAAAUACUAAUUCACUUUCUGCCUAAAUCACAAAGAAAUGUAACUUAAGUGUCUACUACUUCGGAGGGUUCUUGAAAGCCUGAGCCAUAUGUGAAGGGGGACACCACUUCCACCAGCUCUGUCAACCUGAUCAGCUAUAACCUUUUUUUCUUUACAGGUAUUCCAAACUAAGGCAAUCUGCAUUGUAGGGGUGGAUUUUUUUUCUGAUGUCAGCAAGAAAAAAAACAUGGUUUUUAUUUUUAUUGAUCAGAGCCACUCUUUUAAUACUUUCUGGUUUGUUUGCCUACUCAGAUAAAUCAGUGAGUCGUAUAGCCCCAGUGCUCUCAAUAAACUGAUUUCUUUUGUGAAAGUUCUGUGUCUUUUCUCUCUCUUCAUGGCUUCAUAAAAUAAUGAUCCAACUCCAAGUCUUACCUCACACCAACUUUCAUGCAUAACAUCAGAAAAAAGACUUUUUGAGGAGUUAGUCUCCCUCCAGAGCUAACAGCCUUCUGCAUUGCUAGGACUCCCUGUUCAUAAACAACUUACCUCCUCUCGAAAUACUGUGCAAACAUGGAGAAAGUUAAGGGGAUAGUAUUAAUUGUUGGUAUUUAAAAUUAAGGGGAAAAAAUAAGGGGACAGUAAGUAUACACACAGCUAGUAUCACCCAGGGCAGCAUAUGUUCUUACUCACAUGAUGCUGCUCUGCCCGCAUCCUUCUCAUCCAAGUCAUGGCUGCAGUCAGCCAUGUCAUAGUAAGAAGUUCUUCAAUGGAAGCCUGGCUGCCAUUGCUAGAGCCCGUUGACACAGGGACUGCUGUGGUACAACAGGAGUAAUCACCUUUCUGAUAACCUUUUGUCACAUGCUGUGACUUGAACA